ACCUGACUGGCUCAGUCGGUACAGUGUGUGACUCUUAAUCUUGGGAUUGUGAGUUCGAGCCCCAUGUUGGGUG
rnacentral:tRNA from 1 species